GACUGCGGAAGGAUCAUU
rnacentral:rRNA from 1 species